UGUGCCAACCAAGUCAGCAAGCCUGACCACCCGAUCCCAUUAGUCGCCUCUUCGUAGCAUAGUGGCCUUUUGUGGCAAGCAUGGGUUGCUGAAGACCUAUUCUACCCCGGAUCUUCACGGGUCACAGAAACUGUUAAAAAAGUGAGUUAAAGGGUUAUCAGUAUUAAGUUUUAACUAGUGAGUGGGAGGUGAGCCAAAGUGAUGUCGGACAAAGGCGUUUGCAGUUUGGUGCACCUCAUUAGCAUGGGAAUUGUGCUGUGCUCAGAGAAUACACCGAUGAGCCUAGAGAUUAAAGUGUCGGUUCGACAUGCCGAAGGUCUAGGUUUGAUUCCUUAAAUGGAUAUAAUGUAUGAAUCCUAUAUCUGCAGUGGAAUACCCAACUCACUCACACACUCACUCACUCACUCGAAAAAUUAGAAUAAAUGAGUAAAUGUUGUUAUGUGCCUCUGUCAACAAAAUAUCUCAGCUACACCACGUGGUCAGGGCAUGUCAACAUGCAGCUACAGAACAUGACCACCUGGUCCUAGCAGUCAGGAUAGCCAGGAAUAAUAAUAUGGUUUGUGUUUCUCACACACUGACAUGAAAAGUAGGGAAGGGGAAGGGAGAUUAAAUGUACCAUUCAAGAUUGUUGCACAUAUCUAGCAAUAUACAUGCAUGUGUGCAGACAUAUCAGUUUUAUAGCCCAGUUUGAAAUCAUGCUGCACUUUCACACGGAUACCCCACUCAGACACAGCAUGCAGACUCUGAGCUGACCAGUUGUUGUUUCACCACCUAAAUGCCAAUCACCAGGCAGGGAAACAACAAGUACCAAGUUUCCAUAUGCUGUGGCUGGGGACUGACCAACCUUUACACCCUGUGGACAUAAGCUCUGUCCACUAGACUACAAAGAUGGUCUAAUAACUGUAGAAGCUCUAUCCUCACGUGAUAUUUACAUGUUUGUCAUGUUGCAGAAAGCCACCAGAAUAGUUUGUUUUGUAGUUGUACAGUCUUAUCAGCUAAUUAUCCUGCAUAUAAUCCUGUUGUCUCUACUGGUCAUGUCGGUGAUAAUGAGACUAAAUCAAUCUCUCAUUCAGUAAUAUAAAACACAUGUUAAAUGGAAGCAGUUUCAUCAUUGUAAAACAUUUUUUAACUUGCAGAUAAACAAUUAAUUUAGAUUAAACUUCUUGAUUCACAAAAAGCAAACAUUGUUUGAUGUCAGUGUGGUCAAGCUAAACAUCUCUUCUAACCUCAAGCAUAAUCACUGGUCCCUAACAUGGCAAAUAUAUAGAUUACCUCACCAAAGUGAAUAAUGAUGGCAUAUUUGUAUGAACAGUUUUUCAGAUAAAAAUCAAGCUGUUUUGUCUUCCUUGUGUGACCAUAACCAAAAGUAAAUACAAAAUACUUGUUUUAUGUCGUCAGUCCUCUGAUGUGUUUUGUAUGUGAAGCCAGUAGAAAUCCACCACAUUAUGAUACAAUACAAGCUGUAUCCCAGUAAUCCAAACACAUGACUGAAGAUGUGAUCAUUUCAGGUAUUCCACUGUAAUACCAUCAACCAGUGUUCAUCCAUACACCCAUGUUUGUAUAGUACACUGAGAAGGAUGUGUUUUAGCCUAUUUGUAUCCUAAUUUGAAUGUCAUAUUGUAGACUCAUUAAUUGACUUUGACAUGUAAAGAAUUUUUAUUUUAAAAAAUUAUACCCAAAAUAAAAAUGCUUGACUUUUCGCUUAAUAAAGAGAAUUUUGCACA